UACAGAGGUCCCAAGCGUUGUUCGGAUUCACUGGGCGUAAAGGGUGCGUAGGCGGCCAGGAAAGUUUGAUGUGAAAUCUCCGAGCUCAACUCGGAAAUUGCAUUGAAUACUUCCUGGCUAGAGGAUUGGAAGGGAGACUGGAAUUCUCGGUGUAGCAGUGAAAUGCGUAGAUAUCGAGAGGAACACCAGUGGCGAAGGCGAGUCUCUGGACAAUUCCUGACGCUGAGGCACGAAAGCCAGGGGAGCAAACGGG
rnacentral:rRNA from 1 species